GUUGAAAGUAGGCAAUUCCUUUUUGACUGGCAUAAAGGUUGGCACUGUAGCUGCCUGGCUGAAUGUACGAGACCCUUUUGUCCAAGUUGCUGUACAACCAGCAACAGUUAACACAGCAGUCGUCACACAGUUUGAAGGUCCUGACUGGGUUCAGCAAGCAAAAUGGGAGCUUCUUCCACCACCCAUGUGUACAAUGCUUCAAGCUCUGAAAUAGAGAUCAUCUGCCCUGUGGGGAAGCUGGAGCUGCGGGACGUUCAGAAGGACGCCAUGGCAGAGGCUGGCGCUUCUAAAGCUGAAGGGGUCAUGGGAAAGAUGUAUAAAUUCACACACAAGACCUUCGUAAGAGACGACCGAAUUUGCUCCCUGAGAUUGCCCCCGAAUGACCGCAGCAGCAUUAAAGGAAAUGGACAUCUGUUCAUCACUAUUAUCUCGAAUCCUGAUUCUACUCCAAAAGAGUUGUGCGUUAACUAUCCUGUUCCCAUAUACAGGUCAAUCAUCGUGACCGACGACACGGUCAAGUUCAAAGGGUGUGGCAAAAAUGACUGGGUUGAUGAAUAUGGCAAGAAUCAUGACCCAGAAUUUAACAACUGACUUCUGUAUAUAGGAGUAAACAGCCUAAUGUUGCUGAAACCAGUCUGACCAUAAAUCCAAUCAGUAUCUUGAUAAUUAUUUGACUAUAAUUUACUAAUUAAGAUGAUUUAA